ensembl:lncRNA
AUUAUAACAGAACAUGGCCAAGAUGUUCAAAUGUUCAUAAAUGACCAGCAUGGUCGAAUAAUAAUAAGGCAGAACAGUUGAAACUGGAGCAGCAGCACAGUCAGGUGGAAGUUGAAACUGGAGCAGCAGCAUGGCCAGGUGGACUGGGGACAGCAAGGAGUCAUCAUGUCAGGUAGUCGUGGGGCAUGGUCCUAGGGCUCAGGUCCUCUGAGAGAGAGAAAGAAAGAGAGAAUUAGAGAGAGCAUAUGUGGGGUGGCCAGUCCUCUUCUGGCUGUGCCGGGUGGAGAUUUUAACAGAACAUGGCCAAGAUGUUCAAAUGUUCAUAAAUGACCAGCAUGGUCGUAUAAUAAUAAGGCAGAACAGUUGAAACUGGAGCAGCAGCACAGCCAGGUGGACUGGGGACAGCAAGGAGUCAUCAUGUCAGGUAGUCCUGGGGCAUGGUCCUAGGGCUCAGGUCCUCCGAGAGAGAGAAAGAAAGAGAGAAUUAGAGAAUUCACACAGGACACCGAAUAGGACAGGAGAAGUACUCCAGAUAUAACAAACUGACCCUAGCCCCCCGACACAUAAACUACUGCAGCAUACAUACUGGAGGCUGAGACAGGAGGGGUCAGGAGACACUGUGGCCCCAUCCGAGGACACCCCCGGACAGGGCCAAACAGGAAGGAUAUAACCCCACCCACUUUGCCAAAGCACAGCCCCCACACCACUAGACGGGUUAUCUUCAACCACCAAUUUACCAUUCUGAGACAAGGCUGAGUAUAGCCCACAAAGAUCUCCUCCAGACUGAGGCAGACGGCAGACUGUUGCUCCCACACCACCAUAGCCCAGGUUUAUGAUGUUCGCUAUCCUCGAAUGGUCUGAGGACAACCAAGAAGGCUGCAGCUCAAAGACGAGGGAGCAGUGGGAGAGAAAUUCCCGGCAGGUUCCAGAAUCUCCAGCAUAAUGCUCCGGACGAGGUAAGCAGGGUUCUAGGGACACUGGGGUAGGCUGGGAAGAAUCGCCGCUGGUAGCGUGAUGGCUGAGAGUCUGGGGAAUUACUGGUGUGGCUUGAUGCCUUGUAGGUAAUCCGCGGAAUUGCUCCAGCAAUGUAUCGAACCCAGAUGCAGACAGCUAGAAUCACAGAUGUAUAUUGCCCAAACAGAUGGCAUGCAAAAGACAGGUCAAGGGCAGGCAGAGGUCCGUAAUCCUGGGCAGAGUCAGUAAGGUACAGAACGGCAGGCAGGCUUGGGGUCAGGGCAGGCAGAAUGGUCAGAACCUUUCGUAAAUGGGUCAGAGUCAGGAAGUUACAGAAGGGCUGAUAGACUUGAGUCAGGGCUGGCAGAAUGGUCAGAACCGGGGAAACUAGGAAACAGAAAUUUGAGAAAACAGGAAGACGGGAAAGCACGCUGGUAAGACCUGAAAAGACAAGACGAACUGGCAACAGACAAACAGAGAACACAGGUAUAAAUGCACAGGGGAUAAUGGGUAAGAUGGGCAAAAUCUAGAGGGGGUGCAGGCAAUCACAAAGACAGGUGAAACCAAUCAGGGUGUGACAGGAACUCCUUCAAGACUGCUGGAAAAGCAUUCCAGGUGAAGCUGGUUGAAAGAAUGCCAAGAGUGUUCAAAGCUGUCAUCAAGGCAAAGGAUAUAUUUUGAUUUGGUGAGCACAGUUUUGGUUACUACAUGAUUC